UCGCCAGCGUGCUGGGCGUGCUGGCCGCCGCCCUCGUCGGUCGCUGGAUGGCCGAGCCGGCAGGCCGCGCGGUUCAGGCCGCGUCCGGCGAGC
rnacentral:tRNA from 1 species